CGAGGUAGCUCAGGGGUAGAGCACACGACUGAAAAUCGUGGUGUCGGCGGUUCAAAUCCGCCCCUCGGC
rnacentral:tRNA from 1 species